AGGUGAAUUACAGGGUAGUUUCCCUUUUGGCAGGAAACAACACCAUAAUGACACAAAUAAUACCAAGAGGUGUAUUCAUGCCAAAGGGGAUUUGCCCAGCAAUUUUGCU
rfam:Lupinus angustifolius cultivar Tanjil chromosome LG01, whole genome shotgun sequence.